AUUUUGAUAACUAUGUAUUUCAACUGAGAGGGAAAUUCUAAAACAACAUAUUGGAUGGAAAAAUGGUUGGGAAGAUAGGUGCCCAUUCUGUUCCUAUCUUCAGAAGUUAUUUAUACCUAUGCAAUACCUUCGCUCAGGUUAAAGAAUGGAAUACUAGUCUUGCAUCAAAUAUAUUUUACAUAUCCAUUCGAUGUUUAUCACCAGAAGUUAGUUCUACCUUUGCAGUACCUCUGCUCUACAUACCUCCUCGCUGGUUAAAGAAUGGAAUAUAAAUCUCAUAUCAAGUUGGUGUAAAAAUUUAGUUCAAUAAAUUAAGAAAUUUGUAAACGUUAUCAAAAUUUUGAGUGGAGCAAUUGUUUUUCUGGUUUAACAUGAGUAUGAAUCUGAUAUCAACUGGAUGUACAAAGAUUGUUUACUACUUAAAGAACCUAUCUGAUUAUGAAAGAACCAACUGAUUAUUAAACAGUUUUUAAUGGGAAUAAAAACAAAUUUUCAAAAGA
rnacentral:lncRNA from 1 species